GGAAAGAUGAAAAGAACUUUGAAAAGAGAGUUAAAUAGUACGUGAAAUUGUUGAAAGGGAAACGAUUGAAGUCAGUCAUGCCAGCGGGAAUCAACUUAAAGGAAACUCUAGGUGCACUUCUUUGCUUGGCAGGUUAGUGUCGAUUUUGGAUGUCGUAAAAUGACUGGGGGAAGGUAGCUCCUUUGGGAGUGUUAUAGCCCUUGGUAGAUGUGAUGUCUGGAAUCGAGGAUUGCAACGGAUACCCUUUAGGGCUAGUCACCUGAUCUCUAAUUAGUGCUAGAUUACGGACAGCAUGCUGACCGUGAUUUAAUUAUUGGUUAAAAGGUUAGAGUGCACAUAAAUUCGUUAAGGACACUGACGUAAUGGCUUUAAACGACCGUCUUGAAACACGGACCA
rnacentral:rRNA from 1 species